rnacentral:rRNA from 1 species
UGGCUCAGAUUGAACGCUGGCGGCAGGCCUAACACAUGCAAGUCGAGCGGAUGACGGGAGCUUGCUCCUUGAUUCAGCGGCGGACGGGUGAGUAAUGCCUAGGAAUCUGCCUGGUAGUGGGGGACAACGUUUCGAAAGGAACGCUAAUACCGCAUACGUCCUACGGGAGAAAGCAGGGGACCUUCGGGCCUUGCGCUAUCAGAUGAGCCUAGGUCGGAUUAGCUAGUUGGUGGGGUAAUGGCUCACCAAGGCGACGAUCCGUAACUGGUCUGAGAGGAUGAUCAGUCACACUGGAACUGAGACACGGUCCAGACUCCUACGGGAGGCAGCAGUGGGGAAUAUUGGACAAUGGGCGAAAGCCUGAUCCAGCCAUGCCGCGUGUGUGAAGAAGGUCUUCGGAUUGUAAAGCACUUUAAGUUGGGAGGAAGGGCAGUAAGYUAAUACCUUGCUGUUUUGACGUUACCGACAGAAUAAGCACCGGCUAACUCUGUGCCAGCAGCCGCGGUAAUACAGAGGGUGCAAGCGUUAAUCGGAAUUACUGGGCGUAAAGCGCGCGUAGGUGGUUUGUUAAGUUGGAUGUGAAAGCCCCGGGCUCAACCUGGGAACUGCAUCCAAAACUGGCAAGCUAGAGUACGGUAGAGGGUGGUGGAAUUUCCUGUGUAGCGGUGAAAUGCGUAGAUAUAGGAAGGAACACCAGUGGCGAAGGCGACCACCU